rnacentral:rRNA from 1 species
UGGGGAAUUUUGGACAAUGGGGGCAACCCUGAUCCAGCAAUGCCGCGUGUGUGAAGAAGGCCUUCGGGUUGUAAAGCACUUUUGUCCGGAAAGAAAACGCCGUGGUUAAUACCCGUGGCGGAUGACGGUACCGGAAGAAUAAGCACCGGCUAACUACGUGCCAGCAGCCGCGGUAAUACGUAGGGUGCAAGCGUUAGUCGGAAUUACUGGGCGUAAAGCGUGCGCAGGCGGUCCGCUAAGACAGAUGUGAAAUCCCCGGGCUUAACCUGGGAACUGCAUUUGUGACUGGCGGGCUAGAGUAUGGCAGAGGGGGGUAGAAUUCCACGUGUAGCAGUGAAAUGCGUAGAGAUGGUGGAGGAAUACCGAUGGCGAAGGCAGCCCCCUGGGCCAAUACUGACGCUCAUGCACGAAAGCGUGGGGAGCAAACAGGAUUCAGAUACCCUGGUAGUCCACGCCCUAAACGAUGUCAACUAGUUGUCGGUCUUCAUUGACUUGGUAACGUAGCUAACGCGUGAAGUUGACCGCCUGGGGAGUACGGUCGCAAGAUUAAAACUUAAAGAAUUGACGGGGUCAUNGCUG